AUACGUAGGGGGCGAGCGUUGUCCGGAAUGAUUGGGCGUAAAGGGCGCGUAGGCGGCGCGGUAAGUCUGGAGUGAAAGUCCUGCUUUCAAGGUGGGAAUUGCUUUGGAUACUGCCGCGCUUGAGUGCAGGAGAGGUUAUCGGAAUUCCCGGUGUAGCGGUGAAAUGCGUAGAGAUCGGGAGGAACACCAGUGGCGAAGGCGGGUAACUGGACUGCAACUGACGCUGAGUCGCGAAAGUGUGGGGAGCAAACAGGAUUAGAUACCCUGGUAGUCCACACUGUAAACGAUGAAUGCUAGGUGUAAGAGGUAUCGACCCCUUUUGUGCCGGAGUCAACACAAUAAGCAUUCCGCCUGGGGAGUACGGCCGCAAGGUUGAAACUCAAAUGAAUUGGCGGGG
rnacentral:rRNA from 1 species